GUUUACCCACAUGACACAGGAAACCUCACCCAGCCUGGACACAGACAAGAUUGACAGAUUGAGAGCUCUUUCUCCAUUCUAUGGGUGGUCCGGCAUGCCUCUUCUUAGUUGGUGGAGAGAUUUGUCUGGUUAAUUUCAAUAAUGAACUAGACUCUGGCAUGCAAACUAGUUACAUGACCCCGAAGCACUUGGCGUCCAAUGUCUUAGAGGGACAAGUGGCGUUCAGCCACCCGAGAUUGAGCAGUAACAAGUCUGUGAUGCCCUUAGAUGUUCAGGGCCACA
rnacentral:ncRNA from 1 species